rnacentral:rRNA from 1 species
GACGAAGGAUCCAAGCGUUAUCCGGAUUCAUUGGGUUUAAAGGGAGCGUAGGCGGACUUAUAAGUCAGUGGUGAAAGCCGAUAGCUUAACUAUCGAAUUGCCAUUGAUACUGUAGGUCUAGAGUACAGAUGAUGUUGGCGGAAUAUGACAUGUAGCAGUGAAAUGCAUAGAUAUGUCAUAGACACCGAUUGCGAAGGCAGCUGACAAAACUGUAACUGACGCU